AUGACAUUCAAGGCUAAACAGGGUCUUGCUCCAGAAUACAUGUCUGAACUGUUCACCCCUUAUGAACCAAAUCACCAUCUGAGAUCCUCUGGUAAGGUCCUCCUGGCUUUCCCAGAUCAUGUUUGGUUCGGUGGAGGAACCAGACUGGAAGUUAACUUGGGUCGAGUCGCCCCCACCCUGACGGUGCUGCCCCCCUCCAGCCAGGAGCUGCAGCAGGGGAAGGCCACGCUCACGUGUCUGGCCAACAAGGGCUUCCCCUCAGACUGGAGUCUGGCCUGGAAGGUGGACGGCAGCAGCAGCAGCAGCAGCAGCUGGGAGCAGAGCAGGAGCCCCGGGGUGCUGCAGCAGGACGGCCACUACAGCUGGAGCAGCACCCUGAGGCUCACUGCAGACCAGUGGGGGAAGGUGGGCUCUGUGACCUGUGAGGCCACCCAGGGCUCCCAGACUCCACUCUCAGAGACACUGAGGAGAGACCAGUGUUCCCAGUCCUGA